rnacentral:rRNA from 1 species
ACACGACUACAUUAGAUACCCGUGUAGUCCUAGCCGUAAACGAUACUCGCUAGGUGUCGGCCACGGUGCGACCGUUGUCGGUGCCGUAGGGAAGCCGUGAAGCGAGCCACCUGGGAAGUACGGCCGCAAGGCUGAAACUUAAAGGAAUUGGCGGGGGAGCACCACAACGGGUGGAGCUUGCGGUUUAAUUGGAUUCAACGCCGGAAAUCUUACCGGGACCGACAGCAACAUGAAGGCCAAGCUGAAGACUUUGCCGGAUUAGCUG